rnacentral:rRNA from 1 species
AUUGAACGCUGGCGGCAGGCCUAACACAUGCAAGUCGAACGAGUGGCGGACGGGUGAGUAAUGUCUGGGAAACUGCCUGAUGGAGGGAGAUAACUACUGGAAAAGGUAGCUAAUACUGCAUACCAUCAGAUGGGCCCAGAGUGUAUUAGCUAGUUGGUGGGGAAACGGCUCACCAAGGCGACGAUCCCUAGCUGGUCUGAGAGGAUGACCGGCCACACUGGAACUGAGACACGGACCAGACUCCUACGGGAGGCAGCAGUAGGGAAUAUUGCGCAAUAGACGCAAGCCUUAACGAGCCACGCCGCGUGAGUGAAGAAGGCCUUCGGGUCGUAAAAGACUGUCAGCGGAGAGGCGUUAUCAACAGAGAAAGCAACGGCUAACUCCGUGCCAGCAGCCGCGGUAAUAC